rnacentral:rRNA from 1 species
AUUGAACGCUGGCGGCAUGCCUUACACAUGCAAGUCGAACGGCAGCGGGGACUUCGGUCCGCCGGCGAGUGGCGAACGGGUGAGUAAUGUAUCGGAACGUACCAUUCAGUGGGGGAUAACUAUCCGAAAGGAUAGCUAAUACCGCAUAUUCUGUGAGCAGGAAAGCAGGGGAUCGCAAGACCUUGCGCUGAUUGAGCGGCCGAUAUCAGAUUAGCUAGUUGGUGAGGUAACGGCUCACAAAGGCUACGAACUGUAGCGGGUCUGAGAGGAUGAUCCGCCACACUGGGACUGAGACACGGCCCAGACUCCUACGGGAGGCAGCAGUGGGGAAUUUUGGACAAUGGGCGCAAGCCUGAUCCAGCCAUGCCGCGUGAGUGAAGAAGGCCUUCGGGUUGUAAAGCUCUUUCGGCCGGGAAGAAAUCGCAUCAGCUAAUACCUGGUGUGGAUGACGGUACCGGAAUAAGAAGCACCGGCUAACUACGUGCCAGCCGCCGCAGUAAUAC